CCCUUCUUCAUUUUCUCUUCCUCUCUUCCUCAUUUCUCAUUCUUCCUCUCUUCUCUCAUAGUGUAUUUCUCUCUUCCUCUUCUCAUUCUCUUACUCUUCUCAUUCCAUUCUCACACCAUUUUUGAAGAUUUUGAAGAUUGGAGGAGAUAUUAUAAGAAUUGUACUUGAAGAUUGGAGGAGAUUAGAAGAUUGAGAUGGAGUUUUGUUGCUGAAGCGCUCAGGGCAUGCACACACUUGAAGAAGCUUGGUAGAAGAAACUAUAUGAAAAGGAUGCUAAGAUUAGAUAACAGGAAAUAAUUAUUUUGGCUUAUUAGAUAAAGAAGAAUAAGAGAAAAUGGUAUGUGCAAGUGCUAUUGUGGCUCUGUUGCUUUGUACUGAAUACAAGUGCCGCGGAGAUAUAUUGUUUCCACCAGUGAGCACCAUGAGCUUAAUUAAAAUAGGCACAUAUGACCCAUCUUGUUAUAAACAUUUAUACUAGUGGAUGUCCAUCCCUCUUCUUAUUCUUCAUCUUCCUAUUCCACUUUAAUGUACUUAAUUUUCUACCUUCCUUGGGUCCUAUAAAUAAGACUCAUGUUACAAUGUAAAGUUCACCUUUGAGAAGAAUAUAA